rnacentral:rRNA from 1 species
UACGGAGGGUGCGAGCGUUGUUCGGAAUUAUUGGGCGUAAAGCGCGUGUAGGCGGUUUUUUAAGUCUGAUGUGAAAGCCCUGGGCUCAACCCGGGAAGUGCAUUGGAAACUGGGAGACUUGAAUACGGGAGAGGGCAGUGGAAUUCCUGGUGUAGGAGUGAAAUCCGUAGAUAUCAGGAGGAACACCGGUGGCGAAGGCGGCUGCCUGGACCGAUAUUGACGCUGAGACGCGAAAGCGUGGUGAGCAAACAGGAUUAGAUACCCUGGUAGUCCACGCCGUAAACGAUGAGUACUAGGUGUUGCGGGUAUUGACCCCUGCAGUGCCGCAGCUAACGCAUUAAGUACUCCGCCUGGGAAGUACGGUCGCAAGACUAAA